UCUUAGCGGCGGACGGGUGAGUAAUGCUUAGGAAUCUGCCUAUUAGUGGGGGACAACAUUCCGAAAGGAAUGCUAAUACCGCAUACGUCCUACGGGAGAAAGCAGGGGAUCUUCGGACCUUGCGCUAAUAGAUGAGCCUAAGUCGGAUUAGCUAGUUGGUGGGGUAAAGGCCUACCAAGGCGACGAUCUGUAGCGGGUCUGAGAGGAUGAUCCGCCACACUGGGACUGAGACACGGCCCAGACUCCUACGGGAGGCAGCAGUGGGGAAUAUUGGACAAUGGGGGGAACCCUGAUCCAGCCAUGCCGCGUGUGUGAAGAAGGCCUUAUGGUUGUAAAGCACUUUAAGCGAGGAGGAGGCUACUGAGACUAAUACUCUUGGAUAGUGGACGUUACUCGCAGAAUAAGCACCGGCUAACUCUGUGCCAGCAGCCGCGGUAAUACAGAGGGUGCGAGCGUUAAUCGGAUUUACUGGGCGUAAAGCGUGCGUAGGCGGCUUUUUAAGUCGGAUGUGAAAUCCCCGAGCUUAACUUGGGAAUUGCAUUCGAUACUGGGAAGCUAGAGUAUGGGAGAGGAUGGUAGAAUUCCAGGUGUAGCGGUGAAAUGCGUAGAGAUCUGGAGGAAUACCGAUGGCGAAGGCAGCCAUCUGGCCUAAUACUGACGCUGAGGUACGAAAGCAUGGGGAGCAAACAGGAUUAGAUACCCUGGUAGUCCAUGCCGUAAACGAUGUCUACUAGCCGUUGGGGCCUUUGAGGCUUUAGUGGCGCAGCUAACGCGAUAAGUAGACCGCCUGGGGAGUACGGUCGCAAGACUAAAACUCAAAUGAAUUGACGGGGGCCCGCACAAGCGGUGGAGCAUGUGGUUUAAUUCGAUGCAACGCGAAGAACCUUACCUGGCCUUGACAUACUAGAAACUUUCCAGAGAUGGAUUGGUGCCUUCGGGAAUCUAGAUAC
rnacentral:rRNA from 1 species